UUCUCUUCAGCAGUUCUUGCCUGUGCAGUGAACUCUUUGUUUCCCAGCCGAGGCUGAUGAUAUCUCUUGCAGAAAUCUCUUGAUUUUCUCUACAUCCCCAACAGAUUUGCUUCAGUAGCAAUCUCUGCCUGCUGUGAACUUUUGUUCCCCAGUCGGGUCGACCGUUGAUCCAUCACUCAGAGAUUUGGUGUUUCCCUUGAUAUCUCUGAUCUUUUGC
rnacentral:lncRNA from 1 species